UACGUAGGUGGCGAGCGUUAUCCGGAAUGAUUGGGUUUAAAGGGUGCGUAGGCGGCCUUUUAAGUCAGCGGUGAAAGUCUGUGGCUCAACCAUAGAAUUGCCGUUGAAACUGGGGGGCUUGAGUAUGUUUGAGGCAGGCGGAAUGCGUGGUGUAGCGGUGAAAUGCAUAGAUAUCACGCAGAACCCCGAUUGCGAAGGCAGCCUUCCGGCGCCCUACUGACGCUGAGGCACGAAAGUGCGGGGAUCGAACAGG
rnacentral:rRNA from 1 species